AGCUUCAGAUAUAGGUUGGCACUAGGUGAGUGAGGUGAGAUCACUGAAUCUAUUUUCUUCUACACUGGACCUGAAAAGUAUUUUGUGUUUUAAGGGAUGUUGCUGCUGCUCAGUUCAAAGGCAAAGCUUCCCAAGUUGUUUCGACUAGUUUUCUUCUUGAUUAUAAAAAUGUUUAAUAAGUUAUAUGGUACAAGUGCAACACUUUCUAGAAUUGCUUUUUUUGUCAAUCAGGUCACCUGUAUUUGGGCCCUUGCUACAUUAAUGGAACGGAAGUAGGCCAGCAAAGGUUUUAGUAGAGUGUGAGUAUGUUUGCUUUUAGGCUAUUUUCUGUGAAAUCCACAGAUAAGGGACUCUUAUUGAGCAAAAUUAUAAACUGUAAAAAUAGUUAUGGUUUCAUUGUUUUUCUCUUUUCCCCUAGAUUAACUUCUUGGCAAGUUAUAUUUAUAUCUCUGUGAAGUUGUAUUUCACAGAUGUAAUUAAAAUGUAAUUUUGUGUUUCAAAAAGUGUACCAGACUGCUUCUCAGAGUACCAGUUCUUUUCAGCCAGUCCAUUUCAAAUUAAGAGGCUUUGUGGAUGCUGGUCCAUUGAUGGCUGAACAGCAGGUCCCCCCCAAGUGGAAAACCCCGAGAUGAGCCAAAUCUACCUUCAACUGUGGCCAUCCAUCAGUGUAAGGUUGCCCUAAUGGUUGUCUUCAGUUUGUCCAACUCCUUCCUCCACCCCAUGCUCCUCAUGUGUGGCUGAAACUUGCCCUGACAUCCCACCCUUGUAACAUUUCAAUGGGUAGUAAUAGGAUUUUAUUUAUUGCUGCUGCUUUUCAUUUUCAAUUAAUGUUAAGUAAUUGUCUGACAAUUUUUUAUUGAGCAUAGCCCUCUUUCCCCCACAUUUGUAUAUUUCGUAUGGGUAUCCUGGUUUGCUUUUCAUUACAUACAGAAUACAAUUUAAAAAAUACUGUCUUUCAAAAGCCCACUUGGAGAAUGCUUUAUUAACAUUUUUUUUUUUACUUCAAGUCUGAGCUUUCAAAAAGAAAUUUCUUUAUCUGAAGUAAUGAGAACUGAGUCCCCUCAGGCUUCAUGUCCUUUUUCCUCACCCAAAAACCAAAUGUGUAAACGUUCUCAUUUUAUUACACACUGAAAAUAGUAAAGCAGAAGGAGAGAGACGUAUCCUCAACUGUAGCUGAUAAGCCCAUCCUAACUUAGUGCUUUUGAGCAAAUAGAGCACCUUUUGUUUUCCUUUUUUCAUAUAGCCACACUGUUUCUGCAGCAGUUGCUAGUGAUGGAAAGACCAUAAGUCCCCAAGCCUCUAACCCAGAACUUACAUCUUUAAAUGUGGGUUUACGUGUUAAGCCUACAACAUUACUUCACUUUAUUUGUCUGAAGUACACAUGCAGUGAAUUUUUUGUUUAACUUCUUCCUCUUUUCUUGCCUCACUGGAAGUCCCCGAAUGUGUGGAUUUAGAAAUGAGUUCUCUAGUGUUUCUAGCUUUGAGUUAAAAAAUGUGUCUUAAGAUGUACUUUUUAGGUGGUUGUUUUUAUUCUUAUACCUUUGAAAAAUAAUUUCUUAAAGAAUUUUCUAUGUGAGCUGAUAACAUCUUAUGCUAUAGUAUAAAGCUCAGAGUGGUGGUGGCUGUCACGAUGCCUUUUUUUUUCGACACAGCCCUCAGACGAGAAAUAGGAAGGAAACUCCCUGUUCUUACCAUGGUGCUUUUUUCUUUCCCCCAAAUAGCUGUAAACAACAGAGCUAAUGGAAACCAAUUUAAGUGUGGCUGCUGAUUUGAGAAAGAAAGAAUUAAAAGAUUCAAGCCAUUCUCCUGUGCUGAAAAGCAUUUUUACUAAAAGAAUAGCUGUUUGGAACUGGGGUUGAGCUUUGUCUCUCUGAAGGUAGGCAUAAGAAGUUUGGUUAGAGUAACUGUUUCAGACUAAGGUGAAAUUCGAGAAAAUUUUUUUUCCUACAGUGUGACUACUGUAUUAACGUUCUCAGCUCGUACAUGAUAGAAAGGAAGCUUCACUAAAUGCAGCACUGGAAUAAAAAAGACUGCAACUCAGCUUCUCUUCUGAGCACUCUGACUUGGUUCUGAGCCUAAUCUGUGAACAGAAGCAGCCUGACACAAGUGACUCAAGUCAAAGGUCCGAAAUUAUGGGCAGAGUGAAAAUAGGGCCCAGUUUCAUUAGGCUUCUCAUGCAUUUAAGAAAGAAAAAAAAAAAA